GCAUCUACCGAUUGAAUGGAGAGGUAAAAUCUCCGGACUAUGACGCGUUGGGGUCAAACCUAAUGCAGUCGUGGGAAGUGGAUUAAACCUUUCCACUUAGAGGAAGAUGAAGUCGUAACAAGGUUUCCGUAGGUGAACCUGCAGAAGGAUCAAGAUCGGAAGAGCACAGGUCUGAACCCAAGUAACGUGGCCUCAGCUCGCAUGCCGUCUUCUGCUUGAAAAAAAAAACAACACCUGCCCCCUCCGUAUUACCGCGUCUGCUUGCACGUAGUUACUC
rnacentral:misc_RNA from 1 species